GCGUACUGGGAGGGAUGUCCGGAAUGAAAUGGGCCUCUAUGUAAGCCACAAGCGGGCAUUCAACAACUUGAAAACUGGAUUGAAAAUGAGAGACAGAGCGGCCACUCCAGAAACUUUCAAAAUCACGCUGCACCUUCUUGAUCUGCUGCAAUCCACGUGGUGAAGUAGCUCCCAUGUUGCUGUUUGGGAAUUGGAAAGGAACAUUUACUGACAGGCUGC